rnacentral:rRNA from 1 species
CACGAAGUUAGCCGGGGCUUCUUCUCCGACUACCGUCAUUAUCUUCAUCGGUGAAAGAGCUUUACAACCCUAAGGCCUUCAUCACUCACGCGGCAUGGCUGGAUCAGGCUUGCGCCCAUUGUCCAAUAUUCCCCACUGCUGCCUCCCGUAGGAGUUUGGGCCGUGUCUCAGUCCCAAUGUGGCCGAUCAUCCUCUCAGACCAGCUAUGGAUCGUCGCCUUGGUAGGCCUUUACCCCACCAACUAGCUAAUCCAACGCGGGCCAAUCCAUCUCCGAUAAAUCUUUCCCCCGAAGGGCGUAUGCGGUAUUAGCUCCAGUUUCCCGGAGUUGUUCCGCAGAGAUGGGUAUGUUCCCACGUGUUACUCACCCGUCUGCCGCUCCCCUUGCGGGGCGCUCGACUUGCAUGUGUUAAGCCUGCCGCCAGCGUUCGUUCUGAGCCAGGAUCAAACUCU